AUUGAACGCUGGCGGCAUGCUUUACACAUGCAAGUCGAACGGCAGCGCGGGCUUCGGCCUGGCCGCGCGUGGCGAACGGGUGAGUAAUACAUCGGAACGUGACCAGUAUUGGGGGAUAGGUUGACGAAAGCCGGACUAAUAUCGCAUACGAUCUGAUGGUGAAAGCGAGGGUUCUUUGGUCCUCGCGCGAUUUGCUGGCCCGUAGCGAUGUUAGCUAGUUGGUGGGGUAAAGUCGUACCAUAGCGACGUUCCGUAGCUGGUAUGAGAGGACGACCAGCCACACUGGGACUAAGACACGGCCCAGACUCCUACGGGAGGCAGCAGUGGGGAAUUUUGGACAAUGGGCGAAAACCUGAUCCAGCAAAGCCGCGUGUGUGAUGAAGGCCUUCGGGUUGUAAAGCACUUUUGGCGGGAACGAAAAGGAAUGUGCCAAUACCACGGUUCGAUGACGGUACCCGCAGAAUAAGCACCGGCUAACUACGUG
rnacentral:rRNA from 1 species